rnacentral:rRNA from 1 species
GGAGCCUGAGAAACGGCUACCACAUCUAAGGAAGGCAGCAGGCGCGCAAAUUACCCACUCCUAAUACAGGGAGGUAGUGACAAGAAAUAACAAUACAGGACUUUUUGGUUUUGUAAUUGGAAUGAGUUAAGUAUAAACCCCUUUACAAGUAUCAAUUGGAGGGCAAGUCUGGUGCCAGCAGCCGCGGUAAUUCCAGCUCCAAUAGCGUAUAUUAAAGUUGUUGCAGUUAAAAAGCUCGUAGUUG